UCGCUGCUGCCUCUCUUCCUCCUCCUCCCCUCUCUCUGUCUCUCUCUUCCCCUGUCCUCCCGACUGACUCCUCUUUCUAUCUCUCAAGCUCUUCUUCUCGUAUCUCCUAUAGAUUUCUUCUGUUUCUCUGAAUCUUUCUCGCAUCCGAGAGACGAGAACUCCGGUUCUUUGGAGAACGCCAUCGAUGCGCUUCUCUCGAGAAAGCUAUGCGAUUUUUCGAGAGUUUUGAACGGCGAACGCUCGGUGAAUCCCCUCGGCAUUGGACAUGAUGAGCAGAUACAGAGUAAGCCCAGAUUGCGUCCCGCUCAGCAACGGAAGGAAGCACAGCCUGAGAGCCUGCAAGGAAGACGACGCCGACAACGGUGUCCGGACCCCAAACUAUUCCCCCUUCGAAGGCAAACCUCUGAGGCGCUCCGGAUCGGGAUCGACCGCGCAUCAGGACCACCACUUCUCCCACGUCUCCUUCCCCUCCGACCCCUCCCACUCCGAGAACCAACCGCCCUCCUCCUCCGCCGCCGCCGCCGCGGCCGUCGCCUCCACUUCCGCGGCCGUGAAGGCCCCGAGCCAGCACCAUGAGAUCAACGGGGUGUCGCCCGGGGGCGGGGAGGUGCUGCUUCAGUGGGGCCACAACAAGAGAUCCCGAGGGGCGAGGGCGGAGAGCCGGGGGGCGGCCGGGGAUGAUUCGUCGGCCCACUCACGCAUCAAGAUCCAGCGGAGAUCGGCGGCCGCUGGUUCAGAGAAGCUCGCCGCCGCGGCGGCAUCGGCAGCGAUGCCCCCGCCCUGUGGGUCCUACACGCGCGGUGCCAAUCUCCGCCCCUGCUUUGCCACCCGCGACGCCAUGACAUCUUCGUUCCACAGGGGCGUCGAAGAGCGAUCGGGCGGCCUGUCACGAUCCGACAAGCGAUCCCCGCCUUCCCCGCCGGAGAAGGCCCACAAGACGGCCCCCAACGGCACCGCCACUGACGCCAACCCAGCGGACUCGAAGCCGCCGUCCGAUCAGGAGACAGGCGGCAGCAACACGGUGGAGAAGGUGAGCCUGGAGCACUUCGAGUGGCCCAGGAUCUACAUCUCCCUCUCAAGAAAGGAGAAAGAGGACGACUUUUUGGCGAUGAAAGGCACCAAGCUUCCCCAGCGCCCCAAGAAACGGGCCAAGAACAUCGAUAAAAGCCUCCAGUAUUGUUUUCCAGGGAUGUGGCUUUCGGACUUGACGAGAGGACGAUACGAAGUGAGGGAGAAGAAAUGCGUGAAGAAGGGUACAUGGACGUGGACGUAUGGUGUCUAGCACUAUGUCCAUCCUGUGACCUAGCGAGUAUUGCCUUUUGGAGGAGCAUUCCUGGAUGUCCGCCUCUUAUUGCAGCCGUCUGAUCGAUUGGCCACUUUCCCCGCUUUAUAUCUUUUGCUCUCCCUCCCCUUUGGUUUCUUUUUUAUGGGUAGAGGACAAAUAAAAUUAUUAAAAUAAUAAUAAUAAUUUUGAAUAAAAGGGGGAAAAUAAUUGGUUGGCUUUCGCUGUCACGUGGGGCCGUGCCGACCGGUGGGUGCUGUCCUCAUUGAUGGUCACAAUUAAUAAAGGCAUCCUUAUUUCUUCCCCCCUUCUGCCUUUUUGGUCUUCCCCUUCCCUCUGGGGCCAAAAGAAGCGUAGAGGGUUGAAGGGAAUGGAGAGCAUGGACAGUGAUUCGGAGUAGUGAUGGAGAUGAGUAAGAGCGAUAAGAAUCCGAAGCCAGGGCUGAUAAGAGAAAAUUAAGGGGGAAAAAAGAGGAAGCGAAGAUCGGAUGGUGGAGCGUUUGUGAUGCUUUUGUUUUGAGGUGUUCUCCCCCGCAAGAUGCCCGACGCUAGGCAUCUUUUCUGUUUCUCGCUUAUUUUUCUUCCCUUAAACCUUUGGUUUCCCGUUUGUUUUUCUCUUUGCUUUCUUUAAUCUUUUUGGUUGUUCUCUCAAGCGGAUGGAGGAGUGGUGUCGGCCCUUCCAAUCCUCGAGCUCUUGUACAGAUCUCCAGUUCCCAUUUUAAUGAGAAGAAAUUCAUCGAAUGAAAUUAGUAAUACCUGUGAUGUCCGUGGGUAAACUUUUCAAGGAGGCUUUUGGGAAUUGAAGAAGGGUAGUGGGUGCGCACUCAGGGCCCUAAACGUGGACAUGAUUUCUUCUUCACUUCUUCUAUGGGAUUGGGCUAUCUGUUUGACUGAGAAGCUGCAUGUUUUUGGACUUUUCCAACGCGUCCGACCUCACAUGCAAGUCAAGCCAGCGACAAGGUACACAGUGUGGGACAAGUUUGUUGAGAAUUAUCCGGAAUAAUUAAUCCGCAUCCCUUGGAUUUCGAGGAUCGGCCAGUCUAAAUGCUGGGUCAGCAAAGGGCAAAAACUGGAGAAGUUUGAAUUCCGAGUUACGCCCCUCUCCAAUGUUUUUCCUUUUUGGUGCGGGUCCCCUGCCUGACAAGAGUUGGAACAAGGUUAAAUACAGAACGAUCCGAUGGCCUUGGCUCCAAAAUAGCGCCUAGGAAGCGGUCUGGCGAUGAAUCGAGUGACUUUAGUCGCUUAAAAGUCCAACUAUUAGUUAGAUGCUGUUUUCUUUGGCCAUUGGCUGUACAUACCUAAUCAUCUGCGUUUCUCCAUUCUUUGUAUUUUAUGGCGCCUGUCUGCUAGUUUCCCAUACAUGCCCGCGUGCUGUUUUAUAGUUAAGAGCAACGUUAUCGAUGCACUCCGGAGAAAUAGCGGUGGAGAAAUAGCGGUGGGUGUAAGAAGUGUUUGGCUGCCCAAGAUAGGGUUCUUUAUAAAGAAAGUUUUUGUUUUCAGGGCGACAAAGUUGUUUGUGCAGCUAAGAAGGAUGGAAGACUUGCUGCAAAGAUAUGACAGCGAAACGUACAAAUUUCCCAUCCAUGAGGGUGAUUUGGAAAUACAAACGCAAUCCUAAUUAUGCCUUUUGCGCACCUUGGUGUUGGAGGAAGGCACACCCUUGGCUCGGUUUGUGAUGUGACAAGUUUGUUGCUCUGGCCAAUCAUACAUACCACAUCAUUUUUUUUUUUGGGUGAAGAUGCAUAGAACGUCAUUUUUUAUUUAUUCAAUUAUUGCAUCCCAUCAUAAUCCUCAUGCAUUCCACAGGGCUCUAUCUUCUCUUCACCAAAAGAGAAAAAAACAGGGGGCUCUAUCUUCUCAGGCAGCAGGGCAAAUUUAGUUUCAGGAGUGUAGCCUUCUUUGGGAGGAUCAAGCAGUAUCGGUUUAACCAUGUAGAUAACUUCAAACUGUCACUGAGAGAUAUAUGAUUUCUCCUUUCAAAAAAAAAAAAAAAAA